GGAAGUGUGUAACCAUCCUAUUCGUCGGACAUAGUCUCACAUACAACCGCGCUCUGCGGUAGCCAGGUGGUCAACUAUUCUGCUACAAGUGUAUUCCAGCAGCUGUGAGGGUGUCCCAUCUCUGUGGAAGAUUCCCAGCCCAGGCAUCAGCUGCAGUGCCUAAGUAUUGCUCUGCUGUGGCAUCUGUCAGAGACGACAGCCGCAGCGUAGUUUUCGAGCCGCCUCCUUCUCCCAGAUGCUUCACGCAGAUCUGCUGUGAUGUGGGCGCCAAGGGUACUGUAGCGGUCUUCAUGGACAGGCAUGGUUCUGGCAGCAUCAAUCAUAGCCUUAAGUGUCCUGCUGGCCUCCACCAUGACGUUCGUUGCCACGUCUGGUGUGACUUUCCUCGUUUUAGUGGGAGGCCGCUCUUGAUGCAGGGGCUGGGGCUGUGGCUGUGCCUCGCUACA